AUUGAACGACUGGCGGCAUGCCUUACACAUGCAAGUCGAACGGCAGCGAGCCUUCGGGAUGGCGGCGAGUGGCGAACGGGUGAGUAAUACAUCGGAACGUGCCCGAGAGUGGGGGAUAACGCAAGCGAAAGCUGUGCUAAUACCGCAUACGAUCUCAGGAUGAAAGCAGGGGACCGCAAGGCCUUGCGCUCACGGAGCGGCCGAUGGCAGAUUAGGUAGUUGGUGGGAUAAAAGCUUACCAAGCCGACGAUCUGUAGCUGGUCUGAGAGGACGACCAGCCACACUGGGACUGAGACACGGCCCAGACUCCUACGGGAGGCAGCAGUGGGGAAUUUUGGACAAUGGGGGGAACCCUGAUCCAGCCAUGCCGCGUGCAGGAUGAAGGCCUUCGGGUUGUAAACUGCUUUUGUACGGAACGAAAAGGUCUUUUCUAAUAAAGAAGGCUGAUGACGGUACCGUAAGAAUAAGCACCGGCUAACUACGUG
rnacentral:rRNA from 1 species